rnacentral:rRNA from 1 species
AUUGAACGCUGGCGGCAGGCCUAACACAUGCAAGUCGAGCGGAUGAAGGGAGCUUGCUCCUGGAUUCAGCUGCGGACGGGUGAGUAAUGCCUAGGAAUCUGCCUGGUAGUGGGGGAUAACGUCCGGAAACGGGCGCUAAUACCGCAUACGUCCUGAGGGAGAAAGUGGGGGAUCUUCGGACCUCACGCUAUCAGAUGAGCCUAGGUCGUAUUAGCUAGUUGGUGGGGUAAAGGCCUACCAAGGCGACGAUCCGUAACUGGUCUGAGAGGAUGAUCAGUCACACUGGAACUGAGACACGGUCCAGACUCCUACGGGAGGCAGCAGUGGGGAAUAUUGGACAAUGGGCGAAAGCCUGAUCCAGCCAUGCCGCGUGUGUGAAGAAGGUCUUCGGAUUGUAAAGCACUUUAAGUUGGGAGGAAGGGCAGUAAGUUAAUACCUUGCUGUUUUGACGUUACCAACAGAAUAAGCAACGGCUAACUUCGUG